rnacentral:sRNA from 1 species
CCCGCAGGCAGAAACUCCGCUGAGCAGAACUUGCCGCCAGAAUGCUCCUCCUGUUGCUGAGUAUCAUCGUCCUCCACGUCGCGGUGCUGGUGCUGCUGUUCGUCUCCACGAUCGUCAGCCAAUGGAUCGUGGGCAAUGGACACGCAACUGAUCUCUGGCAGAACUGUAGCACUUCUUCCUCAGGAAAUGUCCACCACUGUUUCUCAUCAUCACCAAACGGUGAGGCUGGUUUUGUGCUCCGUGAGCUUGUCCUCAGAUGCCUGUAACACGUUUCUCAGUCCAGAGCUGGAAACGCUUAUUGGAAGACACAAGCCAGAAUGUUGUUGCUGGGGUGGGGUGUGAUGUGACAGGGAGCCAUCAGCCCAGGGAAAAUGGGAGGGGUGGUGAUCUCGCUGGGGAAGCUGAGAUCCUAGGCAUCAUUGUGAUUCACUCUACCUAGAGACAUGCCCUUAGCGCCCUCCUGAUCACUUAGGAUAAUGCUUUUUGUGAUUUGAAAAAAUGUCGACAUGGGAGCUGUGAAGGUGGUAUGAUAGCUAAGCCUUAGGCAGACCCCCUUGGGACAUUGGAUCAAACGUG